rnacentral:lncRNA from 1 species
CCCGGGAUCCAGGAGCUGUUCCAGGGAUCCAGGAGCCGUUCCCGGGAUCCAGGAGCCGUUCCGGGGAUCCAGGAGCCGUUCCGGGGCCGUUCCCGGAGCCGUUCCCGGGAUCCAGAGGCUGAUCAGGAGCCGUUCCCGGGAUCCAGGAGCCGUUCCCGGCUAUUCCAGGAGCCGUUCCCGGGCUGUUCCCGGGAUCCAGGAGCUAUUCCCGGCUGUUCCCGGAGCCGUUCCGGGGCCGUUCCCGGCUGUUCCCGGAGCCGUUCCGGACUCCGCCGCCGAAGGAAGGCGGCGCGGGCGGAGCCGGAGGCUCUAAUUAAUCUCUGCUCUAAUUAAGCUCUGCUCUAAUGAAUCAGGGAAGCGGGGGCGGGGCUGCGGGGGAAGAUCCGCUCGUUUUUCCUGGAUAAAAGGAAGGAAUCGCCGCCUUUCCCUUGAAAUCCGGGAUGUGACGGGAAAGGCUCUGCCCGCCCCCACCGCGGCAUCCCGGGAUUCCCAGCGGGAUCCGCUCCCUCCCC